rnacentral:rRNA from 1 species
AUGGUCGUCUUUUUAGCUCUUUUUACCAUCUGGCAAAGCAGUAAGAUUAAAGAUGUAAUGGUCGUAACUAUACUUCUCCUCGAAAAGCGAUCUAUGGGAAAAAAUACUUGUCCUCAACUCCUCAAGAAUCUGGAGGAUGUUGUGAGAGAUCUGACCUGGGAUUGUUACUCUCAUACAACCCUAUUCACAUCCAUGUUGUACUUACACUUGCGAGCUACUCACUGGCUCUGCAAUUUGAAUGAAACAGUUCUCAUUUUCAGUCAUUUUUUCUGGGUAUUCCACACGGGAAGAAAAUCACAUUAG